AUGCCACAUAGUCGCAUUCGAUUAGAGAAGUUAUUUAAGCAGGUAUGGUUUUCUUUAAAAAUUAUGUUCAAAAUUUUUUAAUUUAAAGUUUGUUGAACAUAAUUUUUUUUUUCUACAGGAGUUUCAAUUCCAGAAUUUGAAAAGUAUCAACCUCCGUAGAUGUGAGUCUAUUACAAAAUUACCUAAUUUAUGUGCCCCAAACUUAGAGAACUUGGGCCUUUCAUUUUGCAAAAAUUUAGUCGAGUGUCAUGAGUCCAUUGGAUUUCUUGAUAAGCUUCAAGAAUUACGUCUUUUUAGUUGUGAAAAACUUCAAAAUUUUCCAAGCCAUCUCAUGUGGAAAUCUCUUGACACUUUGGAUAUUUCAUCCUGCUCAAGGCUUGAUUUUCUUUCUUUCUUAUUCGCUGAAUGGUGUCUCACCUGGCUUAUGGACAUCAUUAGGGUUCAUGGUUUAUAUAGCUAUUGUUGUAAAAAUGUUGUGGAUCUUGAAGAUAUCAUCUAUAAAUUACCACCGCCUGAGAUAAUAUUUAUAUAUACUAGCAAAUCGAGACCCUGGUGUGAAUAUAAUACUUUUCCAAAGUCAUAUGCUUUUCUAGAUCUAAGCAAUGUUCAAAAUCUAGAUCUGAGUAAUGUUGGAAAUCUAAUUGAAUUAGAUUUUUUGAUGAAGUCUGAUUACUUUCCUGUAUUGGAAUGUCUAUAUUUAAAUGACAUUAAUAUUAUUACCAUCUCGGAAAGCAUCACUAAGUUUACUAGAUUAGAGACACUGGGAAUAAGAUCUUGCAAGUAUUUUCUGGAAAUUCCAAGAGGCUUCCACAAUCUAUAAGAAGAGUGUAUAUACUAAACUCCCAUUCGCUACAUCCACAAUCAUCAAACAGAUUGUUCAGUCAGGUGUUUCUCUCUCUCUUUUUCAUUCAAUGUUAUAUAGAAACACUCUUUUUACCAUCUCGAAAAUACAUUAUUAAAUUUGUUUGAAUUUGAUUAUUGCAAACAGUUUGGAGAAUUUUGGCAAUCACGAUAUGAAUAUGAACUUAUACUACCUGGAUCAGAGAUUCCAAAGUGGUUCAAUCAUCAAAGUGUUGGAAAUUCCAUUUCAUUCUGGGUCGGUCGUGAUUGUGAUUAUCUAAAAUUUUAUUACUGUGUUGUUUUAGAACCGAAAUGGCAUGAUACUGUUCACGUCUCCUUGAAAUUUAAUGGGAUAAAGUUCAUUAACUCGAUUCCUUACAGAUUCAAACGGACUACGGAUAUGACGUGUAAUCAUGCAUGGUUUUUAAAGCUAUAUGAAAGUCCCAUCGAUUCAAAGGACUUAACAAAUCAAUUUGAGCGGAAUCGUGUGGAGGUUGAAUUUGGAGCUCCUGUAUCUCAUAUCCUAAGGUGUGGGGUCCAUGCUGAAUGCAUCUGUCCUCUUGUUCAACAUCUCUCCACUGACACUCUCCCACCCAAUCCAAUACCUGCCUUUCCCAUUUGUUCCAUUUCAAACACUGUCAUGCCUUCCCUCCACCUCUUGAACUCUUGCUUGGAGCUUUCAAAUUCGAAUUCAAUGGAAACAACAUAUACUGAUUCUGACUCACCUUCGGAGGUCUCUCACGAUGAUGGAUGUGAUUCGAGUUUGUCACUGUGCACUUCUCCCAUGGGAAGAAAUUAUCCGCCUCCUCAGCCUCAGGUCACUGUCCCUGAUGACACUAGCCACAUCUCUUUGCCAAAAUUACACUUGGGUCUGCCAAGUUUGGGAAUUGGCUCAAAUGCUAGUGAGGGGUUUCAUUUGGGUUCUUCUUCAAUGGCCCAUAACUUUGUCAGUGAUGAUGACUCUGACUUCAAUUUGUAUUCUCCAUCGAAGAAAAUGAGAAAAUCUUGAUCGAACUUGGAAGAAGAAAUAUGCCUCCAUCUGAAAAAGAACCUUGAAACAAUUUUCUUCUUCAUUGUUCCCAUUCCAUUUCUUUAGCAUUUGAUGCCAAGGUAUGUCUCUUUUUAUUUUAAUUUCAUUCUGGGUCGGUCGUGAUUGUGAUUAUCUAAAAUUUUAUUACUGUGUUGUUUUAGAACCGAAAUGGCAUGAUACUGUUCACGUCUCCUUGAAAUUUAAUGGGAUAAAGCUCAUUAACUCGAUUCCUUACAGAUUCAAACGGACUACGGAUAUGACGUGUAAUCAUGCAUGGUUUUUAAAGCUAUAUGAAAGUCCCAUCGAUUCAAAGGACUUAACAAAUCAAUUUGAGCGGAAUCGUGUGGAGGUUGAAUUUGGAGCUGCUGUAUCUCACAUCCUUAAGUGUGGGGUCCAUGCUGAAUGCAUCUGUCCUCUUGUUCAACAUCUCUCCACUGACACUCUCCCACCCACUCCAAUACCUGCCUUUCCCAUUUGUUCUAUUUCAAACACUGUCACGCCUUCCCUCCACCUCUUGAACUCUUGUUUGGAGCUUUCAAAUUCGAAUUCAAUGGAAACAACAUAUACUGAUUCUGACUCAGCUUCGGAGGUCUCUCACAAUGAUGGAUGUGAUUCGAGUUUGUCACUCUGCAAUUCUCCCAUGGGAAGAAAUUAUCUGCCUCCUCAGCCUCAGGUCAUUGUCCCUGAUGACACUAGCCACAUCUCUUUGCCAAAAUUACGCUUGGGUCUGCCAGGUUUGGGAAUUGGCUCAAAUGUUAGUGAGGCGUUUCAUUUGGGUUCUUCUUCAAUGGCCCAUAACUUUGUCAGUGAUGAUGACUCUGACUUCAAUUUGUAUUCUCCAUCGAAGAAAAUGAGAAAAUCUUGAUCGAACUUGGAAGAAGAAAUAUGCCUCCAUCUGAAAAAGAACCUUGAAACAAUUUUCUUCUUCAUUGUUCCCAUUCCAUUUCUUUAGCAUUUGAUGCCAAGGUAUGUCUCUUUUUAUUUUAGUUGCAUUGUUUCAUUUGCAUCUUUGGAUGCUCAUUCAUUGGAUUGGGUACCAACAUAAUUUAAAUAGAAACUAACCCAAAGUAAAUGCAGCAUCGAUGAAAGAAAUUAUGAAAAACCUAUUUCAAUUUUUAGACAAAUUAUGAAAACAAGCAGUUACGUGUUCAUCGCAUAAUCUCUCUCUCUCUCUCUCUCUCUCUCUCUCUGAUAAUGAAGCCACUCAUUCUUCUUGAUUUAUUAAAAUUUUGAUUUUUAUUCCAUUUCUCCAUUGUUAGCAUAAUAUGCGAGUAUUAGGAUUUUUGUCUAUUAGUCUGUUACUAGCCAGCACCAAUUCUGAAAAUUCAAACUGCAGUAGGCAUGACCUUAUGCUAAUGCCAUCCUUAAUUUCAUAGAGCAUGAGGUUUUGAAAUGGAUUUGA
rnacentral:sRNA from 1 species